rnacentral:lncRNA from 1 species
ACGAAAAUUCCAUUUGUUUGUCUGUGAUUCAAUCAAACUCUCAGUAGCAAGAGCACCCUGAAGAGGCAAUCGAGGACGCUGUUUAUUGGAUUUAAUUUGGACCCUGCAGGAAAUGGGUUGAUACUUAAUAAAGGCAUUUGACUUGAGAAGGAAACCGUGCCUGUUGCAACAUUUCUACGCCCCACAUACUCUCACCAACAUUUCUAUAAACCACAAGAACAAGAACGGACAAUUCUUCAGCUUGGUUAUCUAAGCAUCCAUCACAUGGCGUCCUGGCCACAAUUCAAAACAGGGGUGAAAACAUAAACAUCAAAACUCUACUGCAGAAGUGCUCCAACAAGUUCAAAGUUUCACACGGCACAGAAACAAGGCAGUGCACAUCUAGUCCUCCUCCUCGCCCUCGUUCUCAG